rnacentral:rRNA from 1 species
CCUACGGGAGGCAGCAGUAGGGAAUCUUUCACAAUGGGCGAAAGCCUGAUGGAGCAACGCCGCGUGCAGGAUGAAGGACUUCGGGUUGUAAAGUGCUUUUAUAAGCGAGAAAUAUGAUGGUAACUUAUGAAUAAGGAUCGGCUAACUACGUGCCAGCAGCCGCGGUAAUACGUAGGAUCCGAGCAUUAUCCGGAGUGACUGGGUGUAAAGAGAUGCGUAGGUGGCAUAAUAAGUAGCUAGUGAAAUCUGGUGCCUCAACCAUUCAGACUAUUAGCUAAACUGUUAGGAUCGAGACCGGUAGGGGUAACUGGAAUUUCUAGUGUAGGAGUGAAAUCCGUAGAUAUUAGAAGGAACACCAAUAGCGUAGGCAGGUUACUGGGACGGUUCUGACACUAAGGCACGAAAGCGUAGGGAGCAAACGGGAUUAGAUACCCGGGUAGUC